rnacentral:rRNA from 1 species
GAGACACGGCCCAGACUCCUACGGGAGGCAGCAGUGGGGAAUUUUGGACAAUGGGCGCAAGCCUGAUCCAGCAAUGCCGCGUGAGUGAAGAAGGCCUUCGGGUUGUAAAGCUCUUUUGUCAGGGAAGAAACGGUGGAGGUUAAUACCUUCUGCUAAUGACGGUACCUGAAGAAUAAGCACCGGCUAACUACGUGCCAGCAGCCGCGGUAAUACGUAGGGUGCAAGCGUUAAUCGGAAUUACUGGGCGUAAAGCGUGCGCAGGCGGUUGUGCAAGACAGAUGUGAAAUCCCCGGGCUCAACCUGGGAAUUGCAUUUGUGACUGUACGGCUAGAGUGUGUCAGAGGGGGGUAGAAUUCCACGUGUAGCAGUGAAAUGCGUAGAGAUGUGGAGGAAUACCGAUGGCGAAGGCAGCCCCCUGGGAUAACACUGACGCUCAUGCACGAAAGCGUGGGGAGCAAACAGGAUUAGAUACCCUGGUAGUCCACGCCCUAAACGGUGUCUACUAGUUGUCGGGUCUUUAUUGACUUGGUAACGCAGCUAACGCGUGAAGUAGACCGCCUGGGGAGUACGGUCGCAAGAUUAAAACUCAAAGGAAUUGA